rnacentral:tRNA from 1 species
CGCGGGAUGGAGCAGUUCGGUAGCUCGUCGGGCUCAUAACCCGAAGGUUCUGUGUUGGGGCCCCUGACUAGAAU